AUUGAACGCUGGCGGCAUGCCUUACACAUGCAAGUCGAACGGUAACAGGUCUUCGGAUGCUGACGAGUGGCGAACGGGUGAGUAAUACAUCGGAACGUGCCCAGACGUGGGGGAUAACGAGGCGAAAGCUUUGCUAAUACCGCAUACGAUCUAAGGAUGAAAGCAGGGGACCGCAAGGCCUUGUGCGUUUGGAGCGGCCGAUGGCAGAUUAGGUAGUUGGUGGGAUAAAAGCUUGCCAAGCCGACGAUCUGUAGCUGGUCUGAGAGGACGACCAGCCACACUGGGACUGAGACACGGCCCAGACUCCUACGGGAGGCAGCAGUGGGGAAUUUUGGACAAUGGGCGAAAGCCUGAUCCAGCAAUGCCGCGUGCAGGAUGAAGGCCUUCGGGUUGUAAACUGCUUUUGUACGGAACGAAAAGGCUCUGGCUAAUACCUGGGGCACAUGACGGUACCGUAAGAAUAAGCACCGGCUAACUACGUG
rnacentral:rRNA from 1 species